AGUGAACGCUGGCGGUAUGCCUAACACAUGCCAGUCGAACGGCAGCACAGUAAGUGCUUGCUCCUACGGUUGGCGACGGGCGGAUGGGUCAGGAGUACAUCGGCAUCUACUUUUUCGUGGGGGAGAACGUCUGGAACCUUACGCUGAUAGCGCAUAUGUUCAACGGGUUGGUGCAAGAGAUCUUCCGGCCUUGCGUGAUUGCUUGAGCUGAUUUCGGGUUGGCUAGUUGGCGGGGUAAAGGCCCGUCAAGGCGAAGAUCCGCUGCUGGUCUGAGAGGAUGAUCAGCCACACUGGAACUGAGACACGGUCCAGACUCCUACGGGAGGCAGCAGUGGGGAAUAUUGGCCAAUGGGCGCAAGCCUGAUCCAGCCAUGCCGCGUGGGUGAAGCAGGGCUUCGGGUUGUAAAACCGUUUUGUGGUGAAAGACAAGCUGCGGGAGAAACCCAGGCUGUUGUGACGGUACCUAAAGAAGAAGCACCGGCUAACUACGUG
rnacentral:rRNA from 1 species